rnacentral:pre_miRNA from 1 species
CAAAUACUCCCUCCGUCCGGAAAUACUUGUCAUCAAAAUGGAUAAAAGGGAAUGUAUCUAGACGUAUUUUAGUUUUAGAUACAUCUCUUUUUAUCCAUUUUGAUGACAAGUAUUUUCAGACGGAGGGAGUAGAAA